rnacentral:rRNA from 1 species
UGCUCCCUGAUGUUAGCGGCGGACGGGUGAGUAACACGUGGGUAACCUGCCUGUAAGACUGGGAUAACUCCGGGAAACCGGGGCUAAUACCGGAUGGUUGUUUGAACCGCAUGGUUCAGACAUAAAAGGUGGCUUCGGCUACCACUUACAGAUGGACCCGCGGCGCAUUAGCUAGUUGGUGAGGUAACGGCUCACCAAGGCGACGAUGCGUAGCCGACCUGAGAGGGUGAUCGGCCACACUGGGACUGAGACACGGCCCAGACUCCUACGGGAGGCAGCAGUAGGGAAUCUUCCGCAAUGGACGAAAGUCUGACGGAGCAACGCCGCGUGAGUGAUGAAGGUUUUCGGAUCGUAAAGCUCUGUUGUUAGGGAAGAACAAGUGCCGUUCAAAUAGGGCGGCACCUUGACGGUACCUAACCAGAAAGCCACGGCUAACUACGUGCCAGCAGCCGCGGUAAUACGUAGGUGGCAAGCGUUGUCCGGAAUUAUUGGGCGUAAAGGGCUCGCAGGCGGUUUCUUAAGUCUGAUGUGAAAGCCCCCGGCUCAACCGGGGAGGGUCAUUGGAAACUGGGGAACUUGAGUGCAGAAGAGGAGAGUGGAAUUCCACGUGUAGCGGUGAAAUGCGUAGAGAUGUGGAGGAACACCAGUGGCGAAGGCGACUCUCUGGUCUGUAACUGACGCUGANGAGCGAAAGCGUGGGGAGCGAACAGGAUUAGAUACCCUGGUAGUCCACGCCGUAAACGAUGAGUGCUAAGUGUUAGGGGGUUUCCGCCCCUUAGUGCUGCAGCUAACGCAUUAAGCACUCCGCCUGGGGAGUACGGUCGCCAGACUGAAAACUCNAAGGAAUUGACGGGGGCCCGCACAAAGCGGUGGAAGCAUGUGGUUUUNAUUCGNAAGCAACG